rnacentral:lncRNA from 1 species
UAAAGAGUAGCGGAGUUGCAGAGAAGUAAAUGCGAUGCGAAAUGUACACGAGACUCUCUAUCCGAUAAUCCCAGAGACCGGAGUGACGCGGAUAUCAGGCGAUAGUUAUCUCCGAAGAAUCGAGGUUACGUUACGUGGACCCACCGAUUUCUGUGUUUAACGCACACCUUCGCAAACUCAGUCGGUUUUCUUUUUCUGAGGACCCCUGCCUUGGUCGUUAGGACGAGCUCACCGUCACGCCGUAGCCCUGGACCUAAGAUCACACGCUCCCUGUCGUUUGUCGUCAUGAUCUCCUCGACGACAUCACCAGGGUCAAGUUUGGCCAAUAAGUGAAAGCGCGCGCAUCGAUGCAGGGCGAUGGCGGCACUUUCCAUUCGAAUUUCAUCAUGAUUUUGCGAGU